UGGCAGACGGGUGAGUAACGCGUAGAAAUCUACCCCUAGGAGGACCAUAGCUCAUCGAAAGAUGGGGUAAUAGUCCAUGGUCUCGCAAGAGUAAAGGCAAUUAACUUUGCGCCCAGGGAGGAGUCUGCGUCCUAUCAGCUUGUUGGUGGGGUAAUGGCCUACCAAGGCAAUGACGGGUAGCUGGACUGAGAGGUCGAUCAGCCACAACUGCACUUAGACACGGGCAGUACACCUACGGGUGGCAGCAACCAGGAAUAUUGGGCAAUGGGCGAAAGCCUGACCCAGCGACGCCGCGUGGAGGAUGACAGCCCUCGGGUUGUAAACUCCUUUUAAUAAGCCUUUCACGGCUUAUAGAAUAAGCCCCUACUAACUACGUGCCAGAAGUCUCGGUAAUACGUAGGGGGCAAGCGUUAUCCGGAUUUAUUGGGCGUAAAGUGUGCGUAGGCGCCUCGACAAGUCGUAUCUUAAAGACCAAGGCUUAACCCUUGGGAGUGGAUACGAUACUGCGCGAGGUUGAGGAUUGUUAGGGAUGUCGGAACAGCUAGUGUAGCAGUGAAAUGCGUUGAUAUUAGCUGGAACACCAAAGGCGAAGGCAGACAUCUGGAAUUUUCCUGACGCUGAGGCACGAAAGCUAGGGUAGCGAAACAGAUUAGAUACCUGUGUAGUCCUAGCCGUAAACGAUGUCCGCUAGCUCUGUGUAUUUAUAUACGGGGUGUAAGC
rnacentral:rRNA from 1 species